UUACGGCCACAUCGCGUUGAAACACCGGCUCCCGUACUACCACCGAAGUUAAGCAACGUCGAAUCUAGUCUCUACCUAGGUUGGUGACCGCUUGUGAAUAUCAGGUGCUGUAAG